UACUCGGUGGCGUGCGGGACGUCCCCGCCGACGUCGCGGCCGUGGGUGGCGUACAGCUUGCGGUUGUGGUUGCGCACCGCGCCGGGGUGC
rnacentral:tRNA from 1 species